rnacentral:rRNA from 1 species
UCGAACGGAAUCAAGGGGCUUGCUCCUUGAUUUAGUGGCGCACGGGUGAGUAACGCGUGGAUAAUCUGCCCUGGUAUCCUGGAUAACAUUUCGAAAGGAGUGCUAAUACGGGAUAAGCCCACGGGGUCUUCGGACCUUGCGGGAAAAGGUGGCCUCUGAAUAUGCUACCGUAUCAGGAUGAGUCCGCGUACCAUUAGCUAGUUGGCGGGGUAACGGCCCACCAAGGCGACGAUGGUUAGCUGGUCUGAGAGGAUGAUCAGCCACACUGGAACUGAGACACGGUCCAGACUCCUACGGGAGGCAGCAGUGGGGAAUUUUGCGCAAUGGGGGAAACCCUGACGCAGCAACGCCGCGUGAGUGAUGAAGGCCUUCGGGUCGUAAAGCUCUGUCAGAGGGAAAGAAGUGUAUAGUGGUUAAUACCCAUUAUACUUGACGGUACCCUCAAAGGAAGCACCGGCUAACUCCGUGCCAGCAGCCGCGGUAAUACGGAGGGUGCGAGCGUUGUUCGGAUUUAUUGGGCGUAAAGCGCGUGUAGGCGGUCUUUUAAGUCUGAUGUGAAAGCCCCGGGCUCAACCUGGGAAGUGCAUUGGAAACUGGGAGACUUGAAUACGGGAGAGGGUAGUGGAAUUCCUGGUGUAGGAGUGAAAUCCGUAGAUAUCAGGAGGAACACCGGUGGCGAAGGCGGCUGCCUGGACCGAUAUUGACGCUGAGACGCGAAAGCGUGGGGAGCAAACAGGA